CUGCUGCCUUCCGUAGGAGUCUGGUCCGUGUCUCAGUACCAGUGUGGGGGACCUUCCUCUCAGAACCCCUACGCAUCGUCGUCUUGGUGGUCCGUUACACCGCCAACUAACUAAUGCGCCGCAUGCCCAUCCGCCACCGGAUCGCUCCUUUGGCCACCGGAGGAUGCCCUCCGGUGGCGUCACGGGGUAUUAGGCCGCGUUUCCGCGGGUUAUCCCCCUGUGGCGGCCAGGUUGCAUACGUGUUACUCACCCGUGCGCCGGUCGCCGGCGGG
rnacentral:rRNA from 1 species